rnacentral:tRNA from 1 species
GGGCGAGUGGCGGAAUGGCAGACGCUGGGGACUUAAAAUCCCCUGGGGUAAUACCCCGUGCGGGUUCGACUCCCGCCUUGCCCA